UGACUUUUGUGCUUGCACAAAAUGAUUAGUGGCGAACGGGUGAGUAACACGUGAGUAACCUGCCCUUAACUUCGGGAUAAGCCUGGGAAACCGGGUCUAAUACCGGAUACGACGGAUCCCCGCAUGGGGGUUCGUGGAAAGCUUGAUGCGGUUUUGGAUGGACUCGCGGCCUAUCAGCUAGUUGGUUGGGGUAAUGGCCCACCAAGGCGACGACGGGUAGCCGGCCUGAGAGGGUGACCGGCCACACUGGGACUGAGACACGGCCCAGACUCCUACGGGAGGCAGCAGUGGGGAAUAUUGCACAAUGGGCGAAAGCCUGAUGCAGCGACGCCGCGUGAGGGACGAAGGCCUUCGGGUUGUAAACCUCUUUCAGCAGGGAAGAAGCGAAAGUGACGGUACCUGCAGAAGAAGCGCCGGCUAACUACGUGCCAGCAGCCGCGGUAAUACGUAGGGCGCAAGCGUUAUCCGGAAUUAUUGGGCGUAAAGAGCUCGUAGGCGGUUUGUCGCGUCUGCUGUGAAAGCCCGGGGCUCAACCCCGGGUCUGCAGUGGGUACGGGCAGACUAGAGUGAUGUAGGGGAGACUGGAAUUCCUGGUGUAGCGGUGAAAUGCGCAGAUAUCAGGAGGAACACCGAUGGCGAAGGCAGGUCUCUGGGCAUUAACUGACGCUGAGGAGCGAAAGCAUGGGGAGCGAACAGGAUUAGAUACCCUGGUAGUCCAUGCCGUAAACGUUGGGCACUAGGUGUGGGGGACAUUCCACGUUUUCCGCGCCGUAGCUAACGCAUUAAGUGCCCCGCCUGGGGAGUACGGCCGCAAGGCUAAAACUCAAAGGAAUUGACGGGGGCCCGCACAAGCGGCGGAGCAUGCGGAUUAAUUCGAUGCAACGCGAAGAACCUUACCAAGACUUGACAUGAACCGGAAAGGCCUGGAAACAGGUCCCCCACUUGUGGCCGGUUUACAGGUGGUGCAUGGUUGUCGUCAGCUCGUGUCGUGAGAUGUUGGGUUAAGUCCCGCAACGAGCGCAACCCUCGUUCUAUGUUGCCAGCGCGUAAUGGCGGGGACUCAUAGGARACUGCCGGGGUCANYUCGGAGGAAGGUGGGGACGACGUCAAUCAUCAUGCCCCUUAUGUCUUGGGCUUCAGCAUGCUACAUGGCCGGUACAAGGGUUGCGA
rnacentral:rRNA from 1 species